UACGUAGGGUGCAAGCGUUAAUCGGAAUUACUGGGCGUAAAGGGUGUGUAGGCGGUCUUUUAAGUCUGAUGUGAAAUCCCCGGGCUCAACCUGGGAACUGCGUUGGAAACUGGAAGACUAGAGUACGUAAGAGGGGGGUGGAAUUCCACGUGUAGCAGUGAAAUGCGUAGAGAUGUGGAGGAACACCAAUGGCGAAGGCAGCCCCCUGGGACGAUACUGACGCUGAGGCACGAAAGCGUGGGGAGCAAACAGG
rnacentral:rRNA from 1 species